rnacentral:rRNA from 1 species
ACGGAGGGUGCAAGCGUUAAUCGGAAUUACUGGGCGUAAAGCGAGUGUAGGUGGUCGAGUAAGUCGGAUGUGAAAGCCCUGGGCUUAACCUGGGAAUUGCAUUCGAUACUGCUUGGCUAGAGUCUGAUAGAGGGAAGUGGAAUUCCAGGUGUAGCGGUGAAAUGCGUAGAUAUCUGGAGGAACAUCAGUGGCGAAGGCGGCUUCCUGGAUCAAGACUGACACUGAGGCUCGAAAGCGUGGGGAGCAAACAGGAUUAGAUACCCUGGUAGUCCACGCCCUAAACUAUGUCAACUAGACGUUGGGUUCUUUAAUGAACUUAGUGUCGAAGCUAACGCGUUAAGUUGACCGCCUGGGGAGUACGGCCGCAAGGUUG